rnacentral:rRNA from 1 species
CCCGAGAUGAGUUCUCCCUGACUCCUUGAGAGUCCUGAAGGAACGUUGAAGACGACGACGUUGAUAGGCCGGGUGUGUAAGCGCAGCGAUGCGUUGAGCUAACCGGUACUAAUGAACCGUGAGGCUUAACCUUACAACGCCGAAG